AAUGAACGCUGGCGGCACGCUUAACACAUGCAAGUCGAACGAGAUCUUCGGAUCUAGUGGCAGACGGGUGAGUAACGCGUGGGAACCUGCCCUUUAGUAGAGAAUAACUCGGGGAAACUCGAGCUAAUACUUUAUACGCCCUUCGGGGGAAAGCUUUAUGCGCUAUAGGAUGGGCCCGCGUUAGAUUAGUUUGUUGGUGAGGUAACGGCUCACCAAGGCUACGAUCUAUAGCUGGUCUGAGAGGAUGAUCAGCCACACUGGGACUGAGACACGGCCCAGACUCCUACGGGAGGCAGCAGUGGGGAAUAUUGGACAAUGGGGGCAACCCUGAUCCAGCGAUGCCGCGUGAGUGAUGAAGGCCCUAGGGUUGUAAAGCUCUUUUGUCAGGGAAGAUAAUGACGGUACCUGAAGAAUAAGAUCCGGCUAACUCCGUGCCAGCAGCCGCGGUAAUACGGAGGGAUCUAGCGUUAUUCGGAAUUACUGGGCGUAAAGCGAGCGUAGGCUGAUUUGUAAGUUGGAUGUGAAAUCCCAGAGCUUAACUCUGGAACUGCAUCCAAAACUACAUUUCUUGAGUUUGGUAGAGGAGAGUGGAAUUCCUAGUGUAGAGGUGAAAUUCGUAGAUAUUAGGAGGAACACCAGUGGCGAAGGCGACUCUCUGGGCCAAUACUGACGCUGAGGUUCGAAAGCGUGGGUAGCGAACAGGAUUAGAUACCCUGGUAGUCCACGCAGUAAACGAUGAAUGCUAGAUGUUGGAAACAUUAGUUUUCAGUAUCGCAGCUAACGCAUUAAGCAUUCCGCCUGGGAAGUACGGCCGCAAGGCUAAAACUCAAAUGAAUUGACGGGGACCCGCACAAGCGGUGGAUCAUGUGGUUUAAUUCGAAGCAACGCGAAGAACCUUACCGGCCCUUGACAUACCAAUCGCGAACUUAAGAGAUUAAGUUCUUCACUUCGGGUGGAUUGGAUACAGGUGCUGCAUGGCUGUCGUCAGCUCGUGUCGUGAGAUGUUGGGUUAAGUCCCGCAACGAGCGCAACCCUUACCUUCAAUUGCCAGCACGUUAUGGUGGGAACUUUGAAGGAACUGCCGGUGAUAAGCCGGAGGAAGGUGGGGAUGACGUCAAGUCCUCAUGGCCCUUACGGGCCGGGCUACACACGUGAUACAAUGGUAACUACAAAGAGCAGCGAUGGAGCAAUCUUCAGCAAAUCUUCAAAAGUUACCUCAGUUCGGAUUGUACUCUGCAACUCGAGUACAUGAAGUUGGAAUCGCUAGUAAUCGUAGAUCAGCGCGCUACGGUGAAUACGUUCCCGGGUCUUGCACACACCGCCCGUCACACCAUGGGAGUUGGUUUUACCUGAAGCUGGUUUGCUAACCGUAAGGAGGCAGCCAACCACGGUAGGAUUAGCGACUGGGGUGAAGUCGUAACAAGGUAACCGUAGGGGAACCUGCGGUUGGAUCACCUCCUUUCU
rnacentral:rRNA from 1 species